AUCAAACCGGGAGAUAGCUGGUUCUCCCCGAAAGCUAUUUAGGUAGCGCCUCGUGAACUCAUCUUCGGGGGUAGAGCACUGUUUCGGCUAGGGGGCCAUCCCGGCUUACCAAACCGAUGCAAACUCCGAAUACCGAAGAAUGUUAUCACGGGAGAACACACGGCGGGUGCUAACGUCCGUCGUGAAGAGGGAAACAACCCAGACCGCCAGCUAAGGUCCCAAAGUCAUGGUUAAGUGGGAAACGAUGUGGGAAGGCAUAGACAGCCAGGAUGUUGGCUUAGAAGCAGCCAUCAUUUAAAGAAAGCGUAAUAGCUCACUGGUCGAGUCGGCCUGCGCGGAAGAUGUAACGGGGCUAAACCAUGCACCGAAGCUGCGGCAGCGACGCUUAGGCGUUGUUGGGUAGGGGAGCGUUCUGUAAGCCGUUGAAGGUGAACUGUGAGGUUUGCUGGAGGGUAUCAGAAGUGCGAAUGCUGACAUAAGUAACGAUAAAGCGGGUGAAAAACCCGCUCGCCGGAAGACCAAAGGGUUCCUGUCCAACGUUAAUCGGGCAGGGUGAGUCGACCCCUAAGGCGAGGCCGAAAGGCGUAGUCGAUGGGAAACAGGUUAAUAUUCCUGUACUCGGUGUUACUGCGAAGGGGGGGACGGAGAAGGCUAGGCUAGCCGGCGACGGGUUGUCCGGUUUAAGCGUGUAGGGGGGUGUUCCUGGUAAAAUCCGGAACGCUAUCAACCCUGAGGCGUGAUGACGAUGCACUACGGUGCAGAAGUAGUUGAUGCCCUGCCUUCCAGGAAAAGCCUCUAAGCAUCAGGUAAACAUCAAAAUCGUACCCCAAACCGACCACAGGUGGUCAGGUAGAGAAUACCAAGGCGCUUGAGAGAACUCGGGUGAAGGAACUAGGCAAAAUGGUGCCGUAACUUCGGGAGAAGGCACGCUGGCGCGUAGGUGAAGAGACUUGCUCUCGGAGCUGAAGGCCAGUCGCAGAUACCAGCUGGCUGCAAACUGUUUAAUAAAAACACAGCACUGUGCAAACACGAAAGUGGACGUAUACGGUGUGACGCCUGCCCGGUGCUGGAAGGUUAAUUGAUGGGGGUCAGCCGCAAGCGAAGCUCUUGAUCGAAGCCCCAGUAAACGGCGGGCCGUAACUAUAACGGUCCUAAGGUAGCGAAAUUCCUUGUCGGGUAAGUUCCGACCUGCACGAAUGGCGUAAUGAUGGCCAGGCUGUCUCCCACCCGAGACUCAGUGAAAUUGAACUCGCUGUGAAGAUGCAGUGUACCCGCGGCAAGACGGAAAGACCCCGUGAACCUUUUACUAUAGCUUGACACUGAACAUUGAGCCUUGAUGUGUAGGAUAGGUGGGAGGCUUUGAAGUGUGGACGCCAGUCUGCAUGGAGCCAACCUUGAAAUACCACCCUUUAAUGUUUUGAUGUUCUAACUCGGCCCCGUAAUCCGGGGUGAGGACAGUGUCUGGUGGGUAGUUUGACUGGGGCGGUCUCCUCCCAAAGAGUAACGGAGGAGCACGAAGGUUAGCUAAUCACGGUCGGACAUCGUGAGGUUAGUGCAAAGGCAUAAGCUAGCUUGACUGCGAGAGUGACGGCUCGAGCAGGUACGAAAGUAGGUCUUAGUGAUCCGGUGGUUCUGAAUGGAAGGGCCAUCGCUCAACGGAUAAAAGGUACUCCGGGGAUAACAGGCUGAUACCGCCCAAGAGUUCAUAUCGACGGCGGUGUUUGGCACCUCGAUGUCGGCUCAUCACAUCCUGGGGCUGAAGUAGGUCCCAAGGGUAUGGCUGUUCGCCAUUUAAAGUGGUACGCGAGCUGGGUUUAGAACGUCGUGAGACAGUUCGGUCCCUAUCUGCCGUGGGCGUUGGAAGAUUGAGAGGGGUUGCUCCUAGUACGAGAGGACCGGAGUGAACGCACCACUGGUGUUCGGGUUGUCAUGCCAAUGGCACUGCCCGGUAGCUAAGUGCGGAAAAGAUAAGCGCUGAAAGCAUCUAAGCGCGAAACUUGCCUCGAGAUGAGUCUUCCCUGGGCCUUUAAGGUCCCUGAAGGAACGUUUAAGACUAAGACGUUGAUAGGCUGGGUGUGUAAGUGCAGCGAUGCAUUGAGCUAACCAGUACUAAUGAUCCGUGAGGCUUAACCUU
rnacentral:rRNA from 1 species